GACUUGGCCUUGUUACCUCCUGCAAUGAUUGAAAAAUUCCUCAAGAGUUUGGGGGCAUAUGGGAGUGAUAACAACAGCUUGAUCCUCACAAGAUUCAUCCUCCAUUAUCUGAAAAAUAGAGUUCCAUGCAAAGCUGUGCGCUCAAGGUCUGACUAUGGUGGUCUUGCAGACACAGCUGUUUAUGGGCUGAUAUCGGUAGGGAAAAGUGCAUUUUCUUGCAGAGGACUGCUGCUGAUACUGAGGAGUGUGUCAGCACUUGGUGUCAGCAAAGAUUGCAGAACUGAGUUGGAGAGAUUGAUAGGAAGCAUUCUUGACGAAGCAACAUUGGAUGAUUUGCUGAUAGCUGGGCGUGAGAGGGGAGUUUAUGAUGUUAAUCUGGUUUUAAGUUUGAUUAAAAUAUUUGUUAAUAGCGCAAUGGAUAGCAUUCAAAGGUUGAAGAAGGUUGGCAAAUUAAUUGAUCAAUAUUUGAGUGAAAUAUCUCCUGAUCAGAACCUCAAGACCUCAAAAUUUCUUGGAGUUGCAAAGAGUUUACCGGAUUCUGCUAGAGACUGCUUCGAUGGGGUGUACAGAGCCAUUGAUAUGUAUCUUGAGGCCCAUCCUACACUUUCAUUUCAGGAAAGAACGAAGAUAUGCAGAUGCCUUAACUAUGAGAAGCUGAGUCUUGAGGCUUGUAAAGAGCUGGCUAGGAAUCCAAGAAUUCCUCCAACUGCAUCAAUGCAAGCACUCAUAUCUCAAAAGUCUCACAUCCCACAAGACCGUAAUGAUAAAGGUAUGAAAAUCAACAUAGACAGGAUGCUGAGAAGGGUGAUGGAGUUGGAGAAGGUUUGCAAAGAGAUGAAGGGUCAGAUGUCUUGGUUGGUUAAGCAUAAUCCCACCACUGACCCUUUUCAUCACAACAGCACUUUGCCUAGGCUUUGUUGAAUCUCUCUCAUCUAUCAUACAAGAAUACUUCAUCUUAUAUACAUCUUCCUCAACCCUUUUAUUUUCUUUUUAAACAAAUUCUUCCUGGUGAAACUUACGAGGAUAUGAUUACAUAAAUCAUGGGUAUGUUUCCAAUCGUGUAUGAUUGUAAUUUCUGUCUGAUUUCUUUUUUGAUAUAUUCAAAGUUGUGGGAACUAUUUGUAUUUUUUUUUCUUUUUGAAGAACUGUAAAAUGUAUAUGCUUGAAUUAAAAC
rnacentral:misc_RNA from 1 species